CUCCUAUUGAGCAAUUUGGGAAACUGGCUGUCACUCUUCACCUCAGAGUUGGACGACUUCAAACAAUCAGUGCCAUUCAUCCAGCAUAUGACCCACUAUCAUAUGUGCUGCUUCUACCACAGGGGUCCCAAGGAUACCACACUGAACUGAGAGGUGUCACCCCAACAUGCUUUUACCAUUUCCAUCUGCAAGUGCGAAACACUGCUCAUCAUUUCAAUCUACUGCUCCGCGGUGGAAGACUAACACAACAGUAUGUAUGUGACAUGAUGGCAAAAAUUGAGUCACAGCGUCUCAACUGGAUUCGCCACAAUCAGAAAUCUAUCAAGGCAGAAAAGUAUAAAGUCAUUGUUGAUGCCCUGAGUAGUGACACUGAGAUAAUCCCAGGACGCCUAACCAUCCUGCCACACACAAUUUAUGGAUCACCAAGAUGGUACGCCAGAGAAUUCCAAGACGCCAUGGCCUUGGUCAGAGUCAAAGGCAAGCCAGACUUCUUCCUCACCUUCACUUGCAACCCUAACUGGCCUGAAAUAAAAGGAUACAUUUUUGAGGGUCAACAGACCCACAAAAGACCAGACAUCAUUGCCAGUGUCUUCCACAUGAAGGUGGAGGCUCUCCUCACAGACAUCCUGAAAUAUGACAUUCUGGGACAUGUGGACGCAUUUGUGAUGGUGAAAGAAACUCAGAAGAGGCAUCUUCCUCAUAUACAUAUGCUCAUCACCAUGGUGCCACGCGACACACCCAGGACUUCCACUGAUAUUGAUCGCGUUGUGUCUGCAGAGAUUCCGGACAAAGAAACAAAUCCGGAAUUACAUCGCAUUGUCACAUCACACAUGAUUCAUGGACCAUGUGGACAAUGGAAUCGUGACAGUCCAUGCAUGGUUGACAGAAAGUGCUCCAAAGACUACCCCAAACAAUUGAGGCAAGACACAUGCUUCUCAGACAACUCUUACCCACUGUAUAGAAGACGAUCUGAAGAAGCGCCUGGCUCUCCCAUCUCAAAGACGAUCAAUAAUAAUGGGUUGUGCCAUACAAUCCAUACAUCCUUCUCCGAUACAAUGCACACAUUAACCUCGAAAUAGUCUGUGCUGUCUCCAGUGUGAAGUAUCUGUACAAAUACUUGGAGAAGGGUCCAGAUCAGUGCCUGG
rnacentral:lncRNA from 1 species